UACGGGGGGUGCGAGCGUUGUCCGGAAUCACUGGGCGUAAAGGCGCGUAGGUGGUCUGAUAAGGGUGUGGUGAAAGUCCGGGGCUCAACCCCGGAUCUGCCGUGCCGACUGUCAGACUCGAGGACUGUAGAGGCAGGCGGAAUUCCGGGUGUAGCGGUGGAAUGCGUAGAGAUCCGGAGGAAGACCGGUGGCGAAGGCGGCCUGACU
rnacentral:rRNA from 1 species